GUUGCGAUGGGCUGCCUACUGCAAUUUGUUGUUUCUUGCUGUUUGAUAGUUAAUCAUGCCCUGAUUAGUAUAUAUUCGAUUGAGUUAGGUGUUUACUGAUUGAAUUUUGGUGUCAUUCCUUUCAUCAGGUUAGAUCAGCUACCGAUAAUUGGGACCUUCUGCUGCAGCGCAGGUUGUAAUGGUGUGUCACCCUGGCUGCCUGGGUUCACGCCUUUGCCGGCAGCCAGCGCGUUGCUGAUGUCGCCGGGAGGAGGACGCUGCUUCCAAUGCCAUCCUGCUGCUUGGCUGUGGACGACCUCGAGCAGGAUGUCUUUGGGGUGGUACUGGACACAAUAACAAGUACUGAGCAGAGAUCACUACAAUGCAAUGGGUCACUGUAGUACAAAUAUGAAUCUGUUGUCAGUGUCUUUCUUGUAUAUAUAUCUGAUUUGUGGAAAUAUUGUAAUAUAUUCAGUUACUGCUCUUAUAUGGAUGAUUUCAUCAUGUGUUGAUGUUUA